rnacentral:misc_RNA from 1 species
AACGCACAUUGCGCCCGCCAGCAUUCUGGCGGGCAUGCCUGUUCGAGCGUCAUUUCAACCCUCAGGCCCUGCCUGGCGUUGGAGGACUGCGCACGCAGCCUCCCAAAGACAGCGGCGGCGGCGCCCCAAAACCGAACGCAGUAGUAACCUCUCGUUCUGGGUCUGGGUCGUUGUCCUGCCGGAAAACCCCCAUCUUUUUUAAUGGUUGACCUCGAAUCAGGUAGGAAUACCCGCUGAACUUAA